rnacentral:rRNA from 1 species
UAGGGAAUCUUCCACAAUGGACGCAAGUCUGAUGGAGCAACGCCGCGUGAGUGAAGAAGGUCUUCGGNUCGUAAAGCUCUGUUGUUGGUGAAGAAGGAUAGAGGCAGUAACUGGUCUUUAUUUGACGGUAAUCAACCAGAAAGUCACGGCUAACUACGUGCCAGCAGCCGCGGUAAUACGUAGGUGGCAAGCGUUGUCCGGAUUUAUUGGGCGUAAAGCGAGCGCAGGCGGAAUGAUAAGUCUGAUGUGAAAGCCCACGGCUCAACCGUGGAACUGCAUCGGAAACUGUCAUUCUUGAGUGCAGAAGAGGAGAGUGGAACUCCAUGUGUAGCGGUGGAAUGCGUAGAUAUAUGGAAGAACACCAGUGGCGAAGGCGGCUCUCUGGUCUGCAACUGACGCUGAGGUUCUCGAAAGCAUGGGUAGCGAACAGGAUUAGAUACCCUGGUAGUCCAUGCCGUAAACGAUGAGC